rnacentral:rRNA from 1 species
UGAGGAAUAUUGGGCAAUGCCCGAAAGGGUGACCCAGCAACGCCGCGUGGAGGAUGAAGGUCGUAAGAUUGUAAACUCCUGUUAGAGGGGAAGAAUAACUAAGUUUGGAGCUUAGUAUGACUGUACCCUCAGAGAAAGCCCCGGCUAACUACGUGCCAGCAGCCGCGGUAAUACGUAGGGGGGCAAGCGUUGUCCGGAUUUACUGGGUGUAAAGGGCGCGCAGGCGGAAUGGAAAGUCAGUGGUGAAAUCCUACAGCUUAACUGUAGAACUGCCUUUGAUACUUUCAUUCUUGAGUUCGGGAGAGAGAGACGGAAUUCCAUGUGUAGUGGUGAAAUACGUAGAUAUCUGGAAGAACACCAGUUGCGAAGGCGGUCUCUUGGUCCGAUACUGACGCUGAGGCGCGAAAGCGUGGGGAGCAAACAGGAUUAGAUACCC